GUGUCAGCAGCCGCGGUAAGACAGAGGGUGCAAACGUUGUUCGGAAUUACUGGGCGUAAAGCGCGUGUAGGCGGCUUGGCAAGUCGGGUGUGAAAGCCCUGGGCUCAACCCAGGAAGUGCACUCGAAACUGCUUCGCUCGAGUAUCGGAGAGGAAAGCGGAAUUCUCGGUGUAGAGGUGAAAUUCGUAGAUAUCGAGAGGAACACCGGUGGCGAAGGCGGCUUUCUGGACGAUUACUGACGCUGAGACGCGAAAGCGUGGGGAGCAAACAGGAUUAGAAACCCCUGUAGUCC
rnacentral:rRNA from 1 species